rnacentral:tRNA from 1 species
GCGAAAUUGGUCGACGCGUUAGAUUUAGGAUCUAAUAAAAUUGAGAGUUCAAGUUUCUC